GAUGAACGCUAGCUACAGGCUUAACACAUGCAAGUCGAGGGGAAACGGCAUCGAAAGCUUGCUUUUGAUGGGCGUCGACCGGCGCACGGGUGAGUAACGCGUAUCCAACCUGCCCAUCACUUGGGAAUAACCUUGCGAAAGUAAGACUAGUGCCCAAUGACAUCCCACGAAGGCAUCCGAAUGGGAUUAAAGAUUUAUCGGUGAUGGAUGGGGAUGCGUCUGAUUAGCUUGUUGGCGGGGUGACGGCCCACCAAGGCAACGAUCAGUAGGGGUUCUGAGAGGAAGGUCCCCCACAUUGGAACUGAGACACGGUCCAAACUCCUACGGGAGGCAGCAGUGAGGAAGAUUGGUCAAUGGGCGAGAGCCUGAACCAGCCAAGUAGCGUGCAGGAUGACGGCCCUAUGGGUGGUAAACUGCUUUUAUAAGGGAAUAAAGUGGGUCACGUGUGACUUUUUGCAUGUACCUUAUGAAUAAGGACCGGCUAAUUCCGUG
rnacentral:rRNA from 1 species